CCUCAGUCUUACCUUUGCUUCUGUUUGUGUAUUCGUCCUCAUCGCUGCGAGCGUAGGCUAAACUCACUCGCCCGGGCUACCAGAUAGCCUACAACAAUGACACCAGCGGACGCACAGUUUAUCCGCAACUUUUAAUCUUGGGAAGCUCAAAUACAGUAACUGUAUCUCCGAACUGUGAAGAACGCUUUAAUUUAUUCAGUCUGUAAGAUUUGGCAUUGUCGACACUUUUUAUAUUGCAAAACAGCGUUUCUGGUCUUGACUGAACUGUGUUGUGAUCACAUUUGUGCUGUUGUUUUUCCCCUAUGUCCCGAAAAUCCAGUGAUAAUGACUAUAACCUGCGAAGUAUGAGCAACCUGAUGGGCGAGAGAAGGAAGAAAGUAAGCGAUGAUGGAGAGCGGAGCCUCAUCCAGGCUCCCUCCAACGCAAGCAUCGACAGCCAGGGACCCUCGUCCGCCUCCACCGGUGACUUGGAGCGAGCCGCCCGCAAGCAGUUCCAACAGGAGGUCACACCUGCGUUUGUGUAUGUCCUGGCAGGUUUCUCCGCACUGGGGGGCUUUUUGUUCGGCUAUGACACCGGGGUGGUGUCAGGAGCCAUGCUCUUGCUGAAGAAGGAGAUGAAUUUGAGUGCAUUUUGGCAAGAACUGCUCGUCUCAAGUACUGUUGGCGCCGCUGCGUUGUCCGCCCUGGCCGGCGGGUAUCUGAAUGGAAUUGUCGGACGCAGAAAGUGCAUCCUGUUGGCCAGCUUUAUCUUCGCCGGUGGGGGCGUAGUGUUAAGUGUUGCUCCGAAUAAAGAGGCUCUACUUGUUGGACGACUUAUAGUUGGACUUGGAUUAGGCAUUGCCUCCAUGACCGUCCCAGUCUACAUCGCAGAAUGCUCACCCUCCCACCUGAGGGGCCAGCUGGUCACCGUCAACAACCUCUUCAUCACAGGUGGUCAGUUUAUUGCCAGCAUCAUUGACGGGGCCUUCAGCUACCUGCGCCAUGAUGGCUGGAGGUACAUGCUGGGUCUGUCGGUGGCUCCGGCGGUCCUGCAGUUCGUCGGGUUCCUCUUUCUGCCGGAGAGCCCCCGCUGGCUGAUCCAGAAGGGCCAAACCCCGCAGGCCCGGCGGGUCUUGAGCCAGAUCCGGGGGAACCAGAACAUCGACGAGGAGUACGAAAGCAUCAAGAACAGCAUCGAAGAGGAGGAGAAAGAAAGCGGGGGAGGUGGACCGGUGAUCUGGCGCAUGCUCACCUAUGCACCUGCUCGCCGAGCGCUCAUCGUGGGCUGUGGAUUACAGAUGUUCCAGCAGCUGUCCGGGAUCAACACUGUCAUGUACUACAGCGCCACCAUCCUGCAGAUGUCAGGGGUGCGGGAUGACAAGCUGGCUAUCUGGCUGGCGGCAGCCACAGCCUUCACCAACUUCCUGUUCACCCUCCUGGGGGUGUGGCUAGUGGACAGGGUGGGCCGCAGGAAGCUGACCCUGGGCAGCAUCAUUGGUACGGCUCUGAGUUUGACCGUUCUGGCCAUUGGCUUCCUUCUGUCCUCCCAGCACGCACCCCCCGUCACCUUCCACCCCACUCACGCGGGCACGCCCAACUCCACCUGCACAGGAUAUAGGUCCUGUGACCCCUGCAUGCUGGACCCUGCCUGUGGGUUCUGUUACCGUGACAACGGCACUUCUUUGUUUGACUCUUCCUGUAUUCCCGCCAAUCAAGCCUCUACAGGGGAAGCAGCAUGGGGCAGAUGUGCAAACACCACUCAAUUGCCAGAGGGAAUUUACUGGGCCUACAACUACUGCCCCACCUCCUACUCCUGGAUUGUCCUCUUUGGUCUCAUCCUCUACCUGGCCUCCUUCGCCCCCGGAAUGGGUCCCAUGCCCUGGACGGUCAACUCGGAGAUCUACCCUCUGUGGGCUCGGAGCACAGGCAAUGCCUGUUCCUCUGGGGUCAACUGGAUCUUCAAUGUCCUUGUGUCACUCACCUUCCUCCACGUAGCACAGUAUCUCACCUACUACGGGGCGUUCUUCCUGUACGCUGGCCUGGCUUUGCUGGGAUUCAUCUUCAUCUAUGGCUGCCUGCCGGAGACCAAAGGCCGUCGCUUGGAAGAGAUUGAAGCGCUGUUUGAGAGCCAGCUAUGCACAUGCGGAGCAUCCGAUUCAGAUGAGGCUCGGCAGAUCGAGUACAUCCGGGUAAAAGGAAGCAACUAUCACCUGUCCGACAAUGAUGCCUCAGAUGUGGAGUAGCUGGUCUGGCCAUCUUGCCUCCUCACCUCUCUUCGCCCAAAGGCAUUCUGGGAGCAUGGGAAACCAUAGAUUGGUGGUUUUCAUCCUUGGUCUUCACCGUGGGUCACUUCAUUCAUAUUCCAGAGGAUUGGGGGAGGGGAUGUGCAGCACCCAAGAUGUUGGAUUAAACUUACUUUAUGACCUUAACACCUAAUAUGAUUGUUUAAAUUCUUCAAUUAACAGACCAGUGAUAUAUUUUCCUCACUUCGUGAUAUGCAACAUGUACAAUUAGAAAUACAAAGUCCUGGAAAGAAGAUAUAACCGGAAUUUAAUAGCACACAAAUUAAUGAAAUUAAAUUAAACAAAUUAACUACACAUUAUGUGAUAAUGACAAAGAUGAUGUAAUUUUCAGGUAAUAAAAUAUCUGCAUUCUCUGGAAUAUGACAUCUGAACAAUUUUCUGAUUCUCUCUGUCCUUAGAUCUUUCACUAAUACAGCAUUCUGUGGUGAUUAUACCAGUAACCCUUUACCAGAUCUUUGUGACAUUUCAAUUAGUAGCAUCAUAGAGUAUUUUCAUUUACUUGGUAUAUGGUGGUGGGAAGGGUGGUUAGCAUAGUAAUCAUCUUGCCGUGGCAAGUUUUUCUCUUUAUUUACAAAUUUUUAUUUUUUGUAAAUCCGUUUUGGUAAAUCAGCUUUAUCCUUAACUUUGAGUAAUUAAUUUAAGCAAGUGUUCCUUUUUAUAAUUUGACAGUCCUUUACAGUUACUGGCAUUCUCAAAUAAUGGAUUCACAAUAGUGUGGGAAACAAAACCAAAAUGAAAAAACUUGCUUUUACUUGUUACACAAAGUUGGAGGCCUGCGGUGUUGUUCUUGGGCCAAAAAUUAAUGAACCGUUGUCAGAAAAUGAGUAGGUGUCUAAUUUUCUAGCCUCGUAUCGAGUUGGGCCAGUUACGAAAAAGGGUCCUGGAGCCAGAGUGUGGCAUUGCAUAUAUAUCUUUGCAAUAGUUGAACAGUUGUACCUAACCAGGAAGAUGUUUCAUUAUGUUGGAGCAAUGCUCUGCAGACCAAGAGGGAGAAGAUAUUUUUGUAUGUGGCGUAUUUAUAUUUUUCUUUCAUGAUUUGAUUGUGGUUAUGUUUACAGACACAUGCUGUGAAUGAAAUCAAAUGCUGUGGUGGUUGUUGUUUUGUUUUUAGGAAAAUUAUUUUUGACGUAGGUCAUUUUUCAUUUGUCUUCCUCUGUAGCCUUGUGUACAAAUCAAAUUGCCUAACCGUCAUUCAAGUGGCUGAGUGGAAUGCUGAUGUAGUAUGUGUUGAAUAUGUACUGUACUGUAAAUGUUAUUUUCAUAUGGUAAUCAGAUCUUUGUGUAGUACUGUACCUGUUAACACCUUGGUAGACAGGUAUGCUUUACACAGUUUACUGAUUAGAUACCUUUUUUGUAAUAGGUCAGUGACACAAGAAGACCUAGAUGAAAACAUGUAUUGUCUGUGACACAGACUUCUCACAUAACCAUCUGUAAAAGCCGGUGUUAUUAUGCUAUUGUGUGGCCUGUAAUCUUGCAGAAUCUUGAGUUCCUUCAGGGGGACAAAACACUGCCCACGUCAGCGCAUAUCGUACAGUAAAUCGGCAGGCAGUAAAAUAUGCCGUUCAUACAAACUAUAAUAUGUACAGCACAGUCCGUAAGUAUUUGGACAGUGACACAAUUUUUGUUUUGGCUAUGUACUCCAGCACAUUGUAUUCAAAAUGAAACCAUGAACAUGAGGUUAAAGUGCAGACGGUCAGCUUUAAUUUGAGUGUAUUCGGAUCCCUAUUGGGUGAAUCAUGUAGGAAUUACAACCCUUUUCAUACAUAGUUCCCCCAUACUAAAAACAAAAGUUGUGUCACUGUAUAAAUACUUAGUUUUUCAGGUAGAAAUUAAUGUAGCUUUGGUGGAGAAAGUCAGAUUUUCCUAGACUUUUUCAGGUAUAAAAACAGUUACUGGUUCUUAAAUUAGAGGUUAAAGCUGAAGUUUUAAAUGAAGUAAUCAAUUACAGAUUCAAACAUCAGUGGUUGUAUUUGGUUUAUUAACAAAAAUAUUUAACUGGAAAUAUAUUUUUUCCAACUUUAAUUUGAAAACAUUACAGAAGUUUUUUUUUUUAAAAUUAAAUAUGUUAAAAUGCCAUGCAGCCAUGUAACAAAGCCUUCUUGUGUUUGACAGUUACGUAAAUGUAUUGUGACUUUAAAAAUGCACUUUGAUAAAGGGAAGCAUCUUAGACCAUUACAACCCAGUGUUGGUCUAAUUUUAUUACUGACAGAGAUGUCCUGUAAGUUUGUGGUGAAACAAUUUUCCUAUGUAAAACAAUUGAAAAUAAUAAAGUGUUUGUACAGUUUAUGACAAUCUAGUGAUAAAAUAUGUAUGUGUAUGUAUAUGUAUAUAUACAUGCACAUAUACAUACAUAUCAGUGCUGUAUAGUAAAUUCAAUUAUUGUUGCUAUCCAUCUUUUCCUAGAUUUUAUCUUUAUAUAAAACUAUAUAUAUUCAUGAAAUUUGACCCUUGAAUAUGUAAAUGGCCAAAAUAAAUGCUAAUAAUCUUU